GAAGGGGUGCGACGCUUCUGAUUUCCUGCAGUGCCAGAUACGUCACACUGGUAUAUGCCUCAGAGUUCUCCUUCCACCCAUUGCUAUUCCCAGGUUAUUGCCAGCUUAAUUUGCAAGCAGCCCUCCCCGGUCAGGUGCCCUCCAGAGGCAUCGGGACCACAACUCUGGAACUCCAAAGGCAGGAAUUCUGGGAGGGGUGUCUGGAGGGCCCCGUUUACAGAAAGGUGACCAUGAUCUGAGGAAAGGAACAGAUGUCUCUGGCUGGUGCAAAAGCAGCACAGGGCAAAAGGAAAAAGCUGUCAAGUUAGUAGACUAAGCAAGAGAGUGAAAGCAGAGGAUGCAGAAACAGAGAAAGGAGGGAAGGUUUUGGAGUAAGAUUUGCACAGGAAUUAUUAAAGGCUGAAAUUUUUAAAAAAAAUAUGUAUGUAUGUAUCUAUCUAUCUAUCAAGCAGGAACAAACCAUUUCUGUCCUGUGCCAAGAGAAAUCCAAGGCAGCGUCAAUGCAGGCAGCAGGACUUGAGCUUGGUACAAACACGCACACACACACACAAAUAGUGAUGGGAUAUGUAGCAAAGGUAGCUGGACCAUGGCAAAAUCCUCAUUUUGUCUUUUUAAUUUUAAAGGCACUUUUAUUUGCCCCUAAUAGGAAAGUUGUGGACUAAUCUUAAGUAUCUUCCAUCGCAAACCAGCCAGGGGUGUCCAGAAAGAGUCAAGAUGGCAGCUGCAAUCGCACAGUCAAAGCCUCACCUCCUUUUUAUGUGUGUCACAUAUGCAACACAUGUAAAACAAGGUCAGGGCUUUGAUCAUGGAGGCUCAGCUGCCACCUUGACUUGUUUGACCUCUUGUGAAUAUCCCUGAGGUUAGCAAUUUAGGCUAUAUGAAGAACUUCUCUUUUCUUAAAAGCUGGUUAAAACCUGUUCCAUUUCUUCUAUUUGUUUUAAACUGGAAGAAAAACAAAUUAUCCCUACCAGUCUCGUUUUAUUCAUCUGAUUCCUUUCUAAGUUGGUUGGAUGGUGUCAUGAGUCACAAACCAUCCACAGCCAUGUCUCUUGCACAUAAACUCCUUAAAGAGGCCAUCUUUCUUUCAUGACAUUUCUAAGCUAAUGUUGUAAAUAUUUAAAUAAAAGAAAUGUGGUUUUAUUUGUCAAAA